rnacentral:rRNA from 1 species
AUUGAACGCUGGCGGCAUGCCUUACACAUGCAAGUCGAACGGUAACAGGUCUUCGGAUGCUGACGAGUGGCGAACGGGUGAGUAAUACAUCGGAACGUGCCUAGUAGUGGGGGAUAACUACUCGAAAGAGUGGCUAAUACCGCAUGAGAUCUACGGAUGAAAGCAGGGGAUCGCAAGACCUUGUGCUACUAGAGCGGCCGAUGGCAGAUUAGGUAGUUGGUGGGAUAAAAGCUUACCAAGCCGACGAUCUGUAGCUGGUCUGAGAGGACGAUCAGCCACACGGGGACGGAGACACGGCCCAGACUCCUACGGGAGGCAGCAGUGGGGAAUUUUGGACAAUGGGCGCAAGCCUAAUCCAGCAAUGCCGCGUGCAGGAUGAAGGCCUUCGGGUUGUAAACUGCUUUUGUACGGAACGAAAAGCCCUGGGUUAAUACCCUGGGGUCAUGACGGUACCGUAAGAAUAAGCACCGGCUAACUACGUGCCAGCAGCCGCCGUAA